rnacentral:rRNA from 1 species
CCUACGGGAGGCAGCAGUGGGGAAUAUUGGACAAUGGGGGGAACCCUGAUCCAGCGACGCCGCGUGAGUGAAGAAGGAUUUCGGGAUGGAAAGCUCCAUCAGCAAGGAAGAAAAUGACGGUACCUGACUAAGAAGCCCCGGCUAACUACGUGCCAGCAGCCGCGGUAAUACGUAGGGGGCAAGCGUUAUCCGGAUUUACUGGGUGUAAAGGGAGCGUAGACGGUGUAGCAAGUCUGAUGUGAAAGGUCGGGGCCCAACCCCGGGACUGCAUUUGAAACUGUUGAACUGGAGUACAGGAGAGGUAGGCGGAAUUCCUGGUGUAGCGGUGAAAUGCGUAGAUAUUACGAGGAACCCCAGUUGCGAAGGCGGCUUACUGGACUGUAACUGACGUUGAGGCUCGAAAGCGUGGGGAGCAAACAGGAUUAGAUACCCGGGUAGUC